rnacentral:rRNA from 1 species
GAUGAACGCUGGCGGCGUGCCUAAUACAUGCAAGUAGAACGCUGAAGGAAGGAGCUUGCUCUUUCCGGAUGAGUUGCGAACGGGUGAGUAACGCGUAGGUAACCUGCCUGGUAGCGGGGGAUAACCAUUGGAAACGAUAGCUAAUACCGCAUAACAGUAGAUGUUGCAUGAUAUCUACUUAAAAGGUGCAAUUGCACCACUACCAGAUGGACCUGCGUUGUAUUAGCUAGUUGGUGAGGUAACGGCUCACCAAGGCGACGAUACAUAGCCGACCUGAGAGGGUGAUCGGCCACACUGGGACUGAGACACGGCCCAGACUCCUACGGGAGGCAGCAGUAGGGAAUCUUCGGCAAUGGACGGAAGUCUGACCGAGCAACGCCGCGUGAGUGAAGAAGGUUUUCGGAUCGUAAAGCUCUGUUGUAAGAGAAGAACGAGUGUGAGAGUGGAAAGUUCACACUGUGACGGUAUCUUACCAGAAAGGGACGGCUAACUACGUG